GCUGUACGACUCAGCCGGUGACGAGACCAAUCUGAUACAUUGGCAUUGCAGAGUUCAACUCUCUGGUACAGCAC
rnacentral:tRNA from 1 species